rnacentral:rRNA from 1 species
UACGUAGGGCGCAAGCGUUAUCCGGAAUUAUUGGGCGUAAAGAGCGUGUAGGCGGUUUGGUAGGUCCGCUGUGAAAACUCGAGCUCAACCUCGAGACGCCGGUGGAAACCAUCAGACUAGAGUCCGGAAGAGGAGAGUGGAAUUCCUGGUGUAGCGGUGAAAUGCGCAGAUAUCAGGAAGAACACCCGUGGCUAAGGCGGCUCUCUAGUACGGUACUGACGCUGAGACGCGAAAGCGUGGGGAGCGAACAGG